GCUUAAUUGCGCGGCCAAUUCCUGACUUUCUGCUAUCAGUAUUCUAUUUCUCAUCCUAAACACAAUGGAGUUUUUUCUCUAUAAACUACUUCCCUGGAGAACUCGUUUCUCCAGUGGACAUAAACACAAACAAUCUUUUGUAUUAUGAAAACUUAUUUAUCAAUAAAUUUAAUAUUCAAAACUUUCAACAACGGAUCUCUUGGUUCUCGCAUCGAUGAAGAACGCAGCGAAUUGCGAUAAGUAUUGUGAAUUGCAGAUUUUCGUGAAUCAUCGAAUCUUUGAACGCACAUUGCGCCCUUUGGUAUUCCAGGGGGCAUGCCUGUUUGAGCGUCAUUUCCUUCUCAAACCUCUGGGUUUGGUUGUGAGUGAUACUCUCUUCUGGGUUAACUUGAAAGUGUUUAGCCGUUGCCUUCUGCGCGAGCAGGGCUGCGUGGUCAAGUCUACAGACUCGACUUUUGCGUAUCUACGUCUUAGGUUUGCGCCGAUUCGUGGUAAGCUAAGGUCAUAGAAGUUUGUGGGUGUUACAAAGACUGCUGGUGUUUGUCUCUCCGAGGUUUCACGGCUUCACCAAAAACUCUCA
rnacentral:rRNA from 1 species